rnacentral:rRNA from 1 species
UGGGGGAUAUUGCGCAAUGGGGGGAACCCUGACGCAGCAACGCCGCGUGAAGGAAGAAGGUUUUCGGAUCGUAAACUUCUUUAAGUGUGGAAGAUAAUGACGGUACACACAGAAUAAGCCACGGCUAACUACGUGCCAGCAGCCGCGGUAAUACGUAGGUGGCGAGCGUUGUCCGGAUUUACUGGGUGUAAAGGGCGUGUAGGCGGGCAUACAAGUCAGAUGUGAAAUACCGGGGCUCAACCCCGGGGCUGCAUUUGAAACUGUAUAUCUUGAGUGUCGGAGAGGAAAGCGGAAUUCCUAGUGUAGCGGUGAAAUGCGUAGAUAUUAGGAGGAACACCAGUGGCGAAGGCGGCUUUCUGGACGAUAACUGACGCUGAGGCGCGAAAGCGUGGGGAGCAAACA